rnacentral:rRNA from 1 species
GAUGAACGCUAGCGGCAGGCCUAAUACAUGCAAGUCGAACGGUAAGUAUGAUAGCAAUAUUGUACCAAGAGUGACGUACGGGUGCGUAACACGUAUGCAACCUACCCUUUACAGAUGGAUAGCUCGGGGAAACUCGAAUUAACCCGUCAUAGUAUAGUUGAAUGGCAUCAUUUAAUUAUUAAAACUGAGGUGGUAAAGGAUGGGCAUGCGUCUGAUUAGUUAGUUGGCGGGGAACGGCCCACCAAGACGAUGAUCAGUAGGGGAACUGAGAGGUUGAUCCCCCACACUGGCACUGAGAUACGGGCCAGACUCCUACGGGAGCAGCAGUAGGAUAUUGGUCAAUGGAUGGAAGUCUGAACCAGCCAUGCCGCGUGCAGGAAGAAGGCCUUCU